rnacentral:rRNA from 1 species
GUGCAGCAGUCGCGAAACCUCCGCAAUACACGAAAGUGUGACGGGGCCAUCCCGAGUGCCGUCCGCUGAGGACGGCUUUUCCCCAGUGUACACAGCUGGGGGAAUAAGGAGAGGGCAAGCCUGGUGUCAGCCGCCGCGGUAAUACCAGCUCUCCGAGUGGUGGGGACGCUUAUUGGGCCUAAAGCGUCCGUAGCCGGCUGGGCAAGUCCUCCGUUAAAUCCAACGAUUCAAUCGUUGGGCUGCGGGGGAUACUGUCCAGCUUGGGGGCGGGAGAGGCCGACGGUAUUCCCGGGGUAGGGGUGAAAUCCUAUAAUCCCGGGAGGACCACCAGUGGCGAAGACUGUCGGCUAGAACGCGCCCGACGGUGAGGGAUGAAAGCUGGGGGAGCGAACCGGAUUAGAUACCCCUGUAGU